rnacentral:rRNA from 1 species
UUUAAAGAGAGUUUGAUCCUGGCUCAGGACGAACGCUGGCGGCGUGCCUAAUACAUGCAAGUCGAACGAACGGAGGAAGAGCUUGCUCUUCCAAAGUUAGUGGCGGACGGGUGAGUAACACGUGGGCAACCUGCCUGUAAGUUGGGGAUAACUCCGGGAAACCGGGGCUAAUACCGAAUGAUAAAGUGUGGCGCAUGCCACGCUUUUGAAAGAUGGUUUCGGCUAUCGCUUACAGAUGGGCCCGCGGUGCAUUAGCUAGUUGGUAGGGUAAUGGCCUACCAAGGCAACGAUGCAUAGCCGACCUGAGAGGGUGAUCGGCCACACUGGGACUGAGACACGGCCCAGACUCCUACGGGAGGCAGCAGUAGGGAAUCUUCCGCAAUGGACGAAAGUCUGACGGAGCAACGCCGCGUGUAUGAAGAAGGUUUUCGGAUCGUAAAGUACUGUUGUUAGAGAAGAACAAGGAUAAGAGUAACUGCUUGUCCCUUGACGGUAUCUAACCAGAAAGCCACGGCUAACUACGUGCCAGCAGCCGCGGUAAUACGUAGGUGGCAAGCGUUGUCCGGAUUUAUUGGGCGUAAAGCGCGCGCAGGCGGUCUUUUAAGUCUGAUGUGAAAGCCCCCGGCUUAACCGGGGAGGGUCAUUGGAAACUGGAAGACUGGAGUGCAGAAGAGGAGAGUGGAAUUCCACGUGUAGCGGUGAAAUGCGUAGAUAUGUGGAGGAACAC